rnacentral:rRNA from 1 species
UACGGAAGGGGCAAGCGUUGUUCGGAAUCAUUGGGCGUAAAGGGCGCGUAGGUGGUUUUGUGUGUCUACCGUGAAAGCAUACAGCUCAACUGUAUUUUGUCGGUAGAAACUGCAGGACUUGAGGCUGGGAGGGGCUGGUGGAAUUCCCUGUGUAGCGGUGAAAUGCGUAGAUAUCAGGAGGAACACCGGUGGCGAAGGCGGGUCUCUGGGCCGAUACUGACGCUGAGGAGCGAAAGCGUGGGGAGCGAACAGG